GUACGAACCACCAGUAAGGAGGGCGUAUGAACCACCAGUAAGGAGGGUGUACGAACCACCAGUAAGGAGGGCGUAUGAACCACCAGUAAGGAGGGUGUACGAACCACCAGUAAGGAGGGUGUAUGAACCACCAGUAAGGGGGGUGUAUGAACCACCAGUAAGGGGGGUGUAUGAACCACCAGUAAGAAGGGUGUACGAACCACCAGUAAGGGGGGUGUACGAACCACCAGUAAGGAGGGUGUAUGAACCACCAGUAAGGAGGGUGUAUGAACCACCAGUAAG